UACGUAGGGGGCAAGCGUUGUCCGGAUUUAUUGGGCGUAAAGAGCGUGUAGGCGGCCAUACAGGUCCGUUGUGAAAACUGGAGGCUUAACCUCCAGACGUCGAUGGAAACCGUGUGGCUAGAGUCCGGAAGAGGAGAGUGGAAUUCCUGGUGUAGCGGUGAAAUGCGCAGAUAUCAGGAAGAACACCAAUGGCGAAAGCAGCUCUCUGGGACGGUACUGACGCUGAGACGCGAAAGCGUGGGGAGCGAACAGG
rnacentral:rRNA from 1 species